GGCGCCAUACUGCCGUGCGGAAGUGGCGGGCGCGCGGUAUCUCGGCCGGCUGUCCGCCAUGGAGCCGCAGGAACGGCGGGAUCUGCGCCCGCUCUACCGCCUGAUCCCCACGAAUACAUGAAAACUGUCGUGGGUUCAAUAGUGCUGUGGCAAAAGUUUCUGUGCAGACAGCUGAGUAACUGAGCAUCCACCACCCAGAGCUGUUUCACCGCUGAGCGGCCACCAGAUGGAGAAAGCACUCCACAUCAUGGUUUCUGAGUCCAGCCAGUUCCCCUGCCCACAGUGAGUGGCAGACCUGUGCUGAGGGAAGUAUCUCCAUCAGCCCCUGAAAAGCUGGAGCUGCUCCCUGUCCCUGGAAGUGUGAGCCCACAGCUGCUCACGUCAAAGAUAUGAGAUGCCCAGAAAGUUCCUGCAGCUGAGUAAGUAAUUGCCCUGUCACAUUAAGGAGGCAGAAAGAUUAUCCACAAUUAUUGCACUAUCCUAACUAAAGAAGAACUAAAAAAGCAGUGUCAUGUCCUGCAGGUUUAAAACUGAGUCUCCAGAGCUUCUAUGCCUUGCCUCGUACUUCCUUUUCUCUGUCCUAUACAGCAGCACACCUGAGUCACUGUUGAGACUGGAAAUCCUCAGUGCUCUGUCCAGAUGUGAACUGAAGCCAUGCCAAGGUUAUGACAGCAGCACAAAGCAGCUCUCCCAGCUGGCAAAGGAGUGGGAUGAAAGUCUCUGCAGAGGUGGGGAAAUACCUCUUUCAAGAGUAGUUGGGAAGGCACAGCUUGCAGUUUCCAUCACUCGACCUUUCUGCUGGCCUCUGCUGCUUGCCUAGUAGCAGCAGCUUUGUCAGAAAAAGAAAUUAAAAUCAGAUGCACUUUGAAGUGUUGAAACCAACCCCUCAAGAGGACGGACCUCUCUGUUGUGCCACUCAGAUCAUCACAAACCUUGCAGCGAAGAGAUCCAUUUAAAGACAGAAAUCCCAGAAACCUAUGAUUUAUGUUCAGCUCAGUUUGUCACACUGGAGAAAAUCUUCACUGUGAAUCUUCUGCCCAGAAGUUAUGCAUUGCUACAAGGCCAAAGCCAUAAGGGUCAUUGUCCAGGACUAGCCUCCUGACAAGUGAUUUAAGAAGACCUUUAGUAGAUAGCUAGUCUUCUAAUAUGACAACAUAAUCUCACUGUUUCAUCAUUAGCAGUGUUAAAAAUUCAGUUCCUGUGCAGUUUCGGUGACUGUUGUCUCUUUUCUUCAUAAGCUGAAAUCCCCUCUCUAAAGGAGCACAUGCAAACCCCUUAAGCUUGCAUCCAAGGUGUUGCAGGAAGGGCCCAGACCCAUGCUUAGCAUCCAGCUGGGAGCAGUCAGCUCUCCUUACCCACAAAGAUGGAGUAAAGAGCAGAAAAUGUUUCCUGUCCGAAGUGGUACAGCAAGCAAAAACUAUGUUUAGGCAGUAUUAACCAUUUGGAUGUUAUCACCUGAGGUGGCUGUUCUUAUGCCUUUCAUCCCUAAAGGAACAUAUUCAUAAUGCUGACGAAAUCCCCUCAGAUGUUUUUAUUUAUUUUUUAAAUAAAGUGUUGCCUAUUUCUGACAGCAAAGCUUGUUUGUUAGUCAUGAAGUGUUUUGUUUGUUUGCUGAGGUUUCAGGGGGUUGUUUGGAAAGAUUGUGAUUUUGAUGCUUUUGAUUAGCAUCGCUAAGAGGCACUUUAAGUUAAUGAAAUGAUUAAUUGAUUCAUGCAGGAAUGCAGUCACACUAACAGCUGCUUUUGCAGAUACAAAGGAUUCCCUUUCAAAUACAUCCAUGCCUCAUGUUAGUACCCAUGGAUACGUGUUAAUUACAAGGUUGACAAGAGUAUGUAAGCGUAGCUAAUGUUGGAGCUGAGUUAUUUAAUGAAGACAGCUGAAAAAAAAGUCAAAAAAUGGAAAUAAAAUAAUCAGCCAAGCAGGAAAUGGUGGGCUGAGUUCUGCCUUAAAUCACCUUAAUCUACCAGUGAUAAACAAUUUCUCCCAGAUUGUAACAGCAAGGAGGCAGGAACGUAAUUGCUUGAUUCCUGCAUUACAGACUGUUUGAAAAUGGAGGAAUUACUUGAGUUCAAACCACAGUUUAGCAGCACCCUUUGCUUAAUAAUUGUAUACUCCUAUUGUCCUGUCUGUUUUUCAUGCAAGAUAACCUGAAUCCUAAAAGCAAUAUAAAUACAGAUUUUGGUAAAUAUACACAAGCUUAUAGCUUGGUAAAAGGAUGCCUACCAAUUUUUAAAAAAAUUUUAUAUUUACUGCCCAUAUAAUGUAUAUAGCCAUAAAAGACAGUAUUAAAGGCUUUGUGGUGAAAGACAAAAAAGAAUGUAUGGCACAGGAGCACAAAAAAGGGUAAGAGAGAGGCACAGCACAGUGGAGGACAGCACAGAAACAAACAGGGCGGUGUGUGUUGGGAGACAUUACCAAAACUUCCUGAUUAAAAACGCAGAACAGACAUAGGACUGGCUUGUCUGAGUGGGGAUGCUGCCAAAAAUCACAUAAAAAUUUGGACUGAAGAGCUCCAACUCUUUAUUUGAAAUGCAAGCAGGGUGGUUUCUUACUGCAUUGCUACUACAGGUUUCUUCCCCUGCUCACUGCAGUCAUCUGCCAUCGCUCAUCCCACACUGUGUGCAUUUAAUACAUCAUAGUGGAAAGGAACACACAGAUCUGAACAGAAACCAAUGUUACACUGCCCCGGCCACUGCCAGUGGCUUGAGAAAACUACAGAGCACAUAAAUGUGAUCAGCUAAAAUGAAGCAGUAGCAUCCAAAAACCUCUGCAGAAGCUAGACGGCAGUGUUGGCACGUGCUUCAAAGCACAGGCAAGCUAUUGCCUGCAUUCUGCACAGUGGGUUGAAAAUUGUGAGUCCUCUGCUUACAAGGAUUGGGUUUGGACCUUCUGUUUUGUCAUCUGAAGUAAAAAUGGCUUCACAUCUAUGAAACUUCAGCCUGAAGACCAACAAGCAAAAAGUUUUAUGCAGAUUUCCCCAAACAGAAAGAAUAUAUCAUUUUCUUUAGGGGCCUUUUUUUUCCUCCCACCUAAUUCAAUUUAUGUAUGUCUAUAGACUAAUUUAACAGUGACACAACACCAAAUGAUCAUGUCACUGAGAGGAAUGUGUAUUAUUAGAAGUUAGUAUUUACAUUCAAAUAAGAAGAGAAGUGGAAGGCUUUGCCACAGACACUGGAAGAAAUGAAUGGUUAAAAAGAUAAAGACCUUCAAAGACCAUAUGUUGCCCAAAGCAAGCUUUAAUGAAUUUUAUUGUGGUUCAGUGAAUCUGGUUUGCUUUUAACGGUUCAUUUGGCAAGCUGUUGCUGCAGCGAUUUCUAAUAAGAAUGUCACAACAAUCUUUUAACCGAGUACAGAUUUGUGACCAUACAGGACUGCUCUGAAGGCAAUUUCUGAACUUGGUAAGAUGGCAGAACAUAUGCAGUGAGCUCCUUGAGCCUCCUCCUCUGUGAUAUGCAUCGCAUGGAAGAACAAGAGGACAGCAUUCAUGCUGAGGUGCAGCAGAAGGUAUUCUCUUCCACUCAGAUGGGGAUUAUUUCAAAAUGAUAACAGCAGCUGAGAGCAUAAUAUUGCCAGCAGAUAGGGACAGUGUUUACUUCAUCCUUUGGUGUGACUUUAGUCUUAAAAUCUUUGGCUGUUAGUAAUUACAGACAAUAUGACAAUGUGUUUUUACUCAACAUACUCAUUUUUUUUUGGUUGAGGUUUCUUCCUAGUCCUCUUUUCCAAAUGGUGUUUUGACUCUGCACUUAUGCUGAUUCAAGUAGCAAAGUAACAAAAAAAAAAAAUCACUAAAAUAUUUAAGAAAUGAUGAACUGCAGUUAAGACUAAAUAUAUACUGGUUUUCGUCAUAAAGCACGAGCUCAAUGCCAGCAGCAUAACUCAAAUACAGGCAAAAAAAAAAAACAAAAAAAAACCACAAGGCCCAUACCAUUUAAAUACUUGGCUAGCUAGGCAAUUUGAUAACCAUACUUAUCUUUUUGCAACAGCUGCAGUCAUGCAGCUGUACCUCCACAUUUCUAGAGGCUCUCAGGCACAUGAUAACACAUUCUGUCUUCCGUACUAUCAUUUUCCAGCUGUAACUGUGACUGGAUAACAUUUUGUAGCAGGCAGAGCACGCCUAAUGCUAGGAGGUGAAAUCUGCAGUGCAAGAAAAGGGGGAGGAAUGGGAACUGAGGCCUCCCCUAGCAGACUAAAGCCCAGACCUAUACACAUGGCCCACAUGCCCUUAAGUGUCAAUGAGAUCUAACCAACAAGCUCCACCUGAGUAAAUGUUGAGCUCUUCUCCAGAUAGUAGAGCUGCUUGGGUAUGUCAUAUACACAGAAAUACACUGAGCAACAUGAACAUUUCAGCCCUGGUUUCCAUUUUUAUGCUAUUGGUGACAACUGUCAGGAGUGAUGUGCCAACUGAAAAGGUAGUCCAUUCAACUCAUAUGCUCUGCUGUAGGCCACACAGGGCUGCAGCCUUCAGAUUUCAUUCACUGUGACAAGAGGGUUCCACCUCAGUAAAGAACCAAGAGAUGUAGCAUGCAGCAAUGCAGUUAUCAACUCUGCCCAAACCAAACCAGAGAGGAGUUCUCUUUCUCUCCUCAGCAGAAGGGGCUGUGCCACUCACACUGAUGGAUCUGCCUCUUUCCUCGCAGAGAUUUUUCCUUUCUGAAUAGCACAUUAAUUCUUCCUCCCAGUGGGGGAAAAAAAAUGAAAAGACAGCUGCACAGGAAAUUUUGGGCUUCAAUAAAAAGGGAUAUUUCACAACAAACAUUAGCACAUUGUUGAGAAUUCAGAAAAAAAAGUUACUUUUCCAGCUAAAAAGAGCAUGUCAAUGUGUAUUAGCACAAAGUCUGUGUACAAAUAUAUAACUUCAUAUGCUUCAUUAAGAAGUUGUAUCUUAGAUAACUGACUCUUCUUUUGAAUAGACAGUAAAGCAGAAAACUUACAUUUCUUAGCGUGGAUCUCAGCAGACCUGGGUGAAGACUCCUGAUUGUAUUGUCUGCAGAAGAUCCACCCACAGUUAAUCUAUGAAUAAGUGAGUUGAAUGUUCUGUAAUUUUUUUUUUCUUUAGAUACACUGAAAUUAGGAAGACUUUAUCCAACAGGAAGGAAGGUAAAUAGCUGCAUCUCAAAACAACUUCAAUCAUUGUACAGUCUUGUCAUUGGCCAACAUAAUUCUCACAGGCCCAUCAAUGUUGAUGAUAAAUACUAAAUGGUUCUUUCUGGGAAAAGAGUACCAAUGCUUAUUUGAAGAAUGCACACUUCAAGUUUGAAAAGCAAUUUCUGAAAUGGCUUAGUAAGACUCCUCUAUCGCUGCUUAAUAGGCAUGUUCUCUGAUUGCUGCUGUUGAGUUAAAUGUUUGCUCACUUAUGCUGUUUUUUUUUGCUGUUGAGGGUGGAUAACGAAACUGUAAAUGAUGCUCCAGAAAUCUUUCUAAAACUUCAGUGCUAAAUUAAAUGGACAAUACCAUGCGCUAAAUAAAAAGCGAGCUACAAUUAAUUUCAGGGGAGAGCAAGCCAUGCCUGCAGCCUGCUGAUAAUUUACAUUUCCACAAUCGCAUUUUUCACUGAAAUAAAUGCUUCUUUCCCUCCUGGUGGUGUGUGAAAGGCCAAAAUGAAGAGACAGUAAGACUGAUGAUAUGCGUAUGAAUGUAGCGAGCUGCCAGUACUAAAUCAGGUAUGUCUCCAUGUCUCUGCCAGGGGACAAAGUAUCCCAGCAGAGACUUCUGGAACCACCUGCACUCCAGAAAAUGAGGCCACCUCCAGCAGAUGAAGUUUGGCUCCCUUUACUGACAUGAACAGGUCAGCACACAGAACAUUACCCCUUUGAAAAGAACUAAAAGAAAAAAGUGUUCCUUGCUUUGUUGCAUUUGUAAGUUUAAGCACAUGUUGACAGCAAUUGAAAUUAAAAACUCAAGUAGAAGUUGGGUUUUUGGUAGGUUCACACAGUGUUCCUCUAAACUCCAGCACAGUCAAAGAUUUGUAGUAUAAGUAGGCAGACAAGUCUUGAAAGAAGCAUUCAAGCAGUAAGUAGAACUUAAGACAACAGAUGAAAGUCACUGAGACACCACCUAUUUUAUACCCCAUCUUUACAAAUCUGUAACUAUUUAAAGAACUCAUUCUCCUUCCACACAUGCAUGGGUAAGCUGAAUUACUGUGGUACUAAGCUGAUAUGGUCAACAUGUGAGAACAAAGGCAGGAUUCAUGCCUCUUAAUAUAAUCCACCCGCGAUUUAGGUACCUAACCUGAAUUAGUCAGGUUCCUCACCACACCCUGGGUCAUCUAAUUUUUAUUAGAUCACAUGUCCUCGUUUUCAUCCAAGUGUCAGCCACAGAUGGCUUGUAAAAAGAAGACCAACAAACUACUGAUUUUUUCUUAAGUUCUGGAGGACCGCCUUCAAAAUGUGCACUGGACAUGAAUCAUAAUUGCAUUGGUGCCUGCAGGAGAGUAUAGACAUCCAAGGACAACAGCUAUAAUGGGAUCCUGCUAUGCCAGUACAAUGCUAACUUGAAAAUCUAUCUGUGAUUUCAAUUUAAGCAGUAGAGGGUAGGAGAGUGGAAACAGGUUUUAACCACUGCAUAUGGGAGAUCAUCUCUACUGUUACUCCCUGAAACUGUCCAUCAUUGCAUGUACAGAAACUGCAAGGCAAGAGGGCUGUUCUGUGAUAAAGGUCACAGGUUUCUCCAUGCUCAGUGUGCUCCAGGUUCAGUGCAGAAGUGUUUAUGUCUUCUGAGACAACAGUUUUGCCAACAAUAACAAAAACAGUGAUCCAAAUUUUUCAGCAGGAACAUAAGGCAGAGAGUUGCCACUGAGAUGGGACAAGUACACAGCCAGAAAUAAAGAGUGGACACCUCCUCAGCACCUCAUCCAUUUGCUGCUCAUCCUUUCAGGACUUACAAGACAUGUGACCUAAUUUAACUAAAACCACCUUAAACAAUGGCAUUUAUUAAACAGAAUGAAUGAGGAUGAAAAGGAAUUGAGUGACACAGAAGUUCACCUAUGCAUGGGGUGAGGGUACAGACACUUUUCCUGUUUGUGUCUAACAAUUUCCUUAGAGGUCAAUCAUGGAGAAUUUCACUUCCUCCUUUCAUCUGAGUAGGGAAAGUGAAAUGUCAUUUCCAGAAAAAACCUAGACAAGGUUUCCCUGACUUUCAGAGAAGCAUUAGAAGACUCAAAAAAGAAAGGCAUCUCUAUACCUGUGAAGGUUUACAUGGAUAUACAAAGUGCCUCCACUCCGUAUGCCACUUUGUACAUGGAAAGUAUGUGGUACGUACUGCCAACUUUUCUACAUUUCUUGCCUUAUACCACCUUGCAAUUAGCUUCUUCCAUACUUUUUUUUUUUCCUGGUAGUCUGGGAAACUGAUCUAUCAUUUUCCUUAAUGUCCACAUCAAAAACCUUAAUUUGUUCUUUUCACGGAUGUCAAGCUAUUUGCUGAGGUACCUUCAGCUUCUGAGAAUAACACUCUGCAUGUGGAGUAAAAUCAGCAGCUUUGAUCUCCGCUUCUUGAUUCGUUUCACCGGAAGAGUUACAUAUCAGUCAGUGCACUUCAUAUCCUCCUACUGAGCUUGAAAAAAGGCAA